rnacentral:rRNA from 1 species
CUUUACUGUAACUUGAAAUUGAAAUUGGACUUUACUUGCGCAGUAUAGGUGGGAGGCGUUGAGAAUAUUCUUGCGGGAAUAUUGGAGCCAUCAGUGAGAUACCACUCUGGUAAUGUUAGAUUUCUAACUUUGAAUCAUUAUCUGGUCAAAGAACAGUUUCAGGCGGGCAGUUUGACUGGGGCGGUCGCCUCCUAAACGGUAACGGAGGCGCACAAAGGUUUCCUCUGAACGGGUAGAAAUCGUAUCUAGAGUGUAAAGGCGUAAGGAAGCUUGACUGUGAGACCUACAAGUCGAGCAGGGACGAAAGUCGGUCUUAGUGAUCUGACGGUGCUGAGUGGAAAGGCCGUCACUCAACGGAUAAAAGUUA